rnacentral:rRNA from 1 species
AGGAGCUUUGCUCCUUUGAUCAGUGGCGAACGGGUGAGUAACACGUGAGCAACCUGCCCCUCACUCUGGGAUAACACUUGGAAACAGGUGCUAAUACCGGAUACGACACAGACAGGCAUCUGUACUGUGUGGAAAGUUUUUCGGUGAGGGAUGGGCUCGCGGCCUAUCAGUUAGUUGGUGGGGUAAUGGCCUACCAAGACGACGACGGGUAGCCGGCCUGAGAGGGCGACCGGCCACACUGGGACUGAGACACGGCCCAGACUCCUACGGGAGGCAGCAGUGGGGAAUAUUGCACAAUGGGCGAAAGCCUGAUGCAGCGACGCCGCGUGAGGGAUGACGGCCUUCGGGUUGUAAACCUCUUUCAGCAGGGAAGAAGCGCAAGUGACGGUACCUGCAGAAGAAGCACCGGCUAACUACGUGCCAGCAGCCGCGGUAAUACGUAGGGUGCGAGCGUUGUCCGGAAUUAUUGGGCGUAAAGAGCUUGUAGGCGGUUUGUCGCGUCUGCCGUGAAAAUCCGGGACUCAAUUCCGGACUUGCGGUGGGUACGGGCAGACUAGAGUACGGUAGGGGAGACUGGAAUUCCUGGUGUAGCGGUGAAAUGCGCAGAUAUCAGGAGGAACACCGAUGGCGAAGGCAGGUCUCUGGGCCGUAACUGACGCUGAGAAGCGAAAGCAUGGGGAGCGAACAGGAUUAGAUACCCUGGUAGUCCAUGCCGUAAACGUUGGGCGCUAGGUGUGGGGCUCAUUCCACGAGCUCUGUGCCGCAGCUAACGCAUUAAGCGCCCCGCCUGGGGAGUACGGCCGCAAGGCUAAAACUCAAAGGAAUUGACGGAAGGGCG